rnacentral:tRNA from 1 species
GCGCCCGUAGUUCAGCUGGAUAGAACGCCGGCCUACGAAGCCGGAAGUCGGGAGUUCGAAUCUCUCCGGGCGCG